rnacentral:rRNA from 1 species
AUGAACGCUGGCGGCGUGCUUAACACAUGCAAGUCGAACGGUGAAGGCGGAGCUUGCUCUGCUGGAUCAGUGGCGAACGGGUGAGUAACACGUGAGCAAUCUGCCCCUGACUCUGGGAUAAGCGCUGGAAACGGCGUCUAAUACUGGAUACGAGCUGCGAAGGCAUCUUCAGCAGCUGGAAAGAACUUCGGUCAGGGAUGAGCUCGCGGCCUAUCAGCUUGUUGGUGAGGUAAUGGCUCACCAAGGCGUCGACGGGUAGCCGGCCUGAGAGGGUGACCGGCCACACUGGGACUGAGACACGGCCCAGACUCCUACGGGAGGCAGCAGUGGGGAAUAUUGCACAAUGGGCGCAAGCCUGAUGCAGCAACGCCGCGUGAGGGACGACGGCCUUCGGGUUGUAAACCUCUUUUAGCAGGGAAGAAGCGAAAGUGACGGUACCUGCAGAAAAAGCGCCGGCUAACUACGUGCCAGCAGCCGCGGUAAUACGUAGGGCGCAAGCGUUAUCCGGAAUUAUUGGGCGUAAAGAGCUCGUAGGCGGUUUGUCGCGUCUGCUGUGAAAUCCCGAGGCUCAACCUCGGGUCUGCAGUGGGUACGGGCAGACUAGAGUGCGGUAGGGGAGAUUGGAAUUCCUGGUGUAGCGGUGGAAUGCGCAGAUAUCAGGAGGAACACCGAUGGCGAAGGCAGAUCUCUGGGCCGUAACUGACGCUGAGGAGCGAAAGGGUGGGGAGCAAACAGGCUUAGAUACCCUGGUAGUCCACCCCGUAAACGUUGGGAACUAGUUG